rnacentral:rRNA from 1 species
GCCUACCAUGGUGGUAACGGGUAACGGGGUGUUAGGGCACGACACCGGAGAGGGAGCCUGAGAAACGGCUACCACAUCCAAGGAAGGCAGCAGGCGCGCAAAUUACCCAAUCCCGACACGGGGAGGUAGUGACAAUAAAUAACAAUACAGGGUUCUUUUGGAUCUUGUAAUUGGAAUGAGUACAAUUUAAAUCUCUUAACGAGGAACAAUUGGAGGGCAAGUCUGGUGCCAGCAGCCGCGGUAAUUCCAGCUCCAAUAGCGUAUAUUAAAGUUGUUGCAGUUAAAAAGCUCGUAGUUGAAUUUCGGGAUCAAGGAAUCGGUCAUGCCUUGGUAUGUACUGGUUUUAUUGGUUCUCACCUUCUAAAGAACCAUAAUGUCAUUCAUUUGAUGUUAUGGGGAAUUAGGACUGUUACCUUGAAAAAAUUAGAGUGAUUAAAGCAGGCUUACGCUUGAAUACAUUAGCAUGGAAUAAUGAAAUAGGACAUCAGAUUCUAUUUUGUUGGUUUCUAGGAUCGAUGUAAUGAUUAAUAGGGAUAGUUGGGGGCAUUAGUAUUCAAUUGUCAGAGGUGAAAUUCUUGGAUUUAUUGAAGACUAACUACUGCGGAAGCAUUUGCCAAGGAUGUUUUCAUUAAUCAAGAACGAAAGUUAGGGGAUCGAAGACGAUCAGAUACCGUCGUAGUCUUAACCAUAAACUAUGCCGACUAGGGAUCGGAUGAUGUUAAUUUUAUAAUGACUCAUUCGGCACCUUACG